UUGUAGGUUUUAACAUAAUGAAUUAUGGCACCCCAAAUUAUGAUUUUUGUAGAUUUGAUUUAUUAUUGUUGAUGGAUAGAAUUUUCUUUUUAUGAGAAUUGAGUGAAAAGUAGGCAUAGUAAAGUCAAAAAGGGACAAGAAGAUAAAAGGGAUAUUCUUAACUUUUCUUCCAAUUUCAUAUUUUUGUUCUUCAAUUUCGUGUUUCCCCACUUUCUUUUCUGUCUUUCUUUAUUUCUUUCAGUUAAUAGAUUUAAAGUUUCAUUUGAAUUAUACAAAAUAUUUAAUUGAUAAUAAAUUCUCGUGUUUCUUAUUCAGUUGGAAAAAAAUGGCAGCGGCUCUGUUUUAGUUCAUCAACAACAAAGAAGACUUCUUCAACAGUCCUAUAUGGAGAAAGUACAUGUCACCAAAGGUUAUAUACAUGCAAUGUCAAUAGUAUGCAGAUGUUAACUGUUGCGCUAGCAGAAGAAAGCAAAGAACGCAACUAUUCCUCAUAAAAAAAGGCUAAAACAUCAAGGAAAUUUUGUCCAUUUCUCUUCAGAAUUCAGGUGAGAGUGGAAGGAGGCAAGCAAAAUUAUUACAUGGAUAGCACUUUCUCAAGGCAUAAGACUGGAAGAAAAGAAAGUUUCUUUCACUCACCACAUUUAAAAGGUGGUGAAUUUUUUUUAGGGGAUGGCAAAAUAAAAAACCAUUUUAAAGAUGGUCAGAUUUGUAGUGAUUGUGUAAGGGGUAACUGUAAUGCCUUGAGACUACACCCUGGGCGUCACACGGUACUUACGACCCCAAAGGACCACAAGCUAACCAAUGACUAGUACCUGCUAUGAGCAAUGAAAAAUAAUCAUGAAGUAUAUGCGGAAGUAAAACUGAAAAUACCAUAAGGUUCAUAAAACUGAAUAAAAACUUAAUACAUCUAUAGAAUAAUUGCUAACUGAUAAUGUUUGAAAGCCUCUAAACAUCUAAAAUAAAAGAGUUGAUGGGAGAGGCCCCAACUAACUCACAACUGCUAUCUAAAAUAAUUGAAAUACUGAAAUAAUGCAAAGACAAAAUAAGUAUCGCGUUCUCGAUGGAUAAGGACUCACUACUGUAACUGCGGCUGAUCUGGCUAUGACUGAUCUGGCUAAGUACAGUCAAGAACCCAAACGUCUGAACCUAUGAUAUGAGACAUCAUAGCGCAAAGAGAGAGUAUGCAUCAAUACUAUGAAUGUACUAGUAUGCUAGGUGAGGUUAGGCUAAUAUGCAUGGGUUCUUGUCCAUGAGUAAUAAUAACAACUAAAUAUCUUGAAGUGACUGGAUGAGAGUAUAUGCAAGACUGGGACUAUUGAAGAUAAUGAAUAUGUAAUAUCAAGUAUAUAUCGUCUGUCUAAAUUAAAAAAUAUUAAAGUACUGAGUUUCUAAUAACUGAUUGCUGAAAACUAAAAGUUAUGGUCUCGUAGAACUAACUGAGUUCUAUACCAAACGCUGAAUACUAAAUACUGAAUACUGAAUACUGAGCACUGGAACUGAGACUGUGGGAGCUAUCAUCUAAUCGACAUACCUCAUUUAUAGACUAUUGUGGUCCAACUGUAACCCCAGCUGGAAGGAUGUUAGCACCGUGCAGGGUCAACCUAAUCUGACAAAAAGACUCAUGAGAUGUAUAUGAUUACGUCAACCCUAGUCUAGCAGGAAGUUUAUUUACCCUACGCUGGAUAUGUAGUUCUAUAAUUCAGGGACUGUUACUAAGUGCCAAACCCUAUACUGGUAGGAAUUCCCCCAUCCCUGGGUUCACUCGGUGCUGAAUCAUACUCUCAACUGAACUGACACUAAUCGUAGGCUAUUUUAAGCUUGACUAAACUCACGCUGAUUCUGUUAACUGGCUGAAUGCUACUUUUUAGGAUACUAUGAAAUCAUUCUAUUAUGACUAGAAACUAAGUAAGCAGCUAAUUUUAGGUAUAUAAUAUCCCCAGAACUCAAUAGCAUAAAUAAUAGAACCAUAUCACAAGUUUAAAAGCGUUACAAUUGGGAUAUCAUGCACAAUUUAUUCACAUAGACAUUUUGUCAAACACUUGGGGAGCAUGGUUCUUGUACAUUAGUAAGAACAAUAUGGGGAUAUCAUGAUUACAAAAUUUAACUUACAAUUCAUAGGUUAUGACAUGGGGAGUACAUAAAUCAACACACGUGCUAGUUUAUUUGCUUGAAAUUCGUAAUCUUCUUAAUUUAGAACCCAUAAAAUAAACAUGUACAUGAACACAAUUUAAUUCAAGAAUGUAAUUCAUAAUUUAAAUUCUCAAAAAGGAUUCUUGAACUCCAAGGGUGUAAAUAACCCAAGGAUGAACACCAAACAUACCUUGAUUUAUGAAUUUGUGAGAAUUG